CAGGAAGUGCCCUCUCUGACCAUUUCUUGGCUUUCUAUAGCCUCUUUAUCGAAAACAGAGGAUCUCUGCUGUAACGUGACAUUUUCUAAGGCUCCCAUAGGCUCUCAGAAGGCGCCAGAAUGGGGAAUGAUGACUCUGCAGUCCCUGGCUGAAAAACAGUAGCGCAUUUGGAUAGUGGUCGAUCUGAAAACAAUGAAACGGGCGUGCGCAUGCACGUGAAGAGUCCAUUUUACAUUUUCAGUCUUUGAACGAAAACAACAUCUCCUGGUCGGAAUAUUAUCGCUAUUUUACGAGAGAAAUCGCAUAAAAAUUGGUUUUAAAAAGCGUUUGACAUACUUCGAAGUACGGUAAUGGAAUAUUUUGAAUUUUUUGUCACGAUACGCGCCGGCGCGUCACCCUUCGGAUAGUGUCUUGAACGCAAGAACAAAACGCCGCUAUUUGGAUAUAACUAUGGAUCAUUUGGAACCAAAACGACAUUGGGUGUAAAGUACAAGUCCUGGGAGUGCAUUCUGACGAAGAACAGCAAAGUAGUGGUCAUUACUAUGAAUCCUACAUCCGCAACCAGUACAACAAUCACUGAUGCAUCGACAAAAACUGAUGAACCCACUACAACCGUAACUGAUGCAUCGACUACAACUGGUGAACCCACUACAACCGUAACUGAUGCAUCGACUACAACUGGUGAACCCACUACAACCGUAACUGAUGCAUCGACUACAACUGGUGAACCUACUACAACCAUCACUGAGUCAUCAACAACAACUGGUGAACCCACUACAACCAUCACUGAGUCAUCAAAAACAACUGGUGAACCAAAUACAACAUUCAUUGACGCAUCGACAACAACUGGUGAACCGCUACAACCGUCACUAAUUCACCACCAACAACUGGUGAACCAACUAAAACCACCACUAAAUCAACAAAAUCAACUGGUGAACCAACUAAAACCACCACUAAAUCAACAAAAACAACUGGUGAACCAACUAAAACCACCACUAAAUCAACAAAAACAACUGCUGAACCAACUAAAACCACCACUAAAUCAACAAAAACAACUGCUGAACCAACUAAAACCACCACUACAUCAACAAAAACAACUGGUGAACCAACUAAAACCACCACUAAAUCAACAAAAACAACUGCUGAACCAACUAAAACCACCACUACAUCAACAAAAACAACUGGAGAACCAUCUAAAACCUCCACUGAGUCAACGACAACAAUUGGUGAACCCAUUAAAAUCGUUUUUGGGUCAUCAACAACAACUGAUGAACCCACUACCACCAUCACUGGUUCAUCCAGAACAACUGAUGAAAACACUGCAACCGACAAUGAUGCAUCGACAGAAACUGGUGAACCCAAUACAACCAUCAAUGAUUCAACAAAAACAACUAGUGAACCCACUACAACCAUUACUGAUUCAUCAACAACUGGUGAACCCAAUACAACAACUACCAGUGAAACUGCUACAACCAUCACUGGUGUUGUCGAUAACAACGGAUGCAGCUGCAACAGUCAUUGAUUCAUCAACAAUAACAGGUGAACUCACUCCAACCAUCGUUGAUGCAUCGAUAGUAACUAGUGAACCCACUGCAACCAUCACUGAUUCAUCAACAACAACUGGGGAACCAAAUACAUCCAUCACUGAGUCAUCAAAAGAAACUAGGCAACGCACUAUAACAUUAAGUGGAUCAUCGACAACAACUGGUGAACACACUACAAGAGUCCCUGCUGCGUCGACCACAACUGGGGAACCCACUACAAUCGACAUUGAUGCAUCAACAACUACUAGUGAAAACACAACAAUGGUCAGUGCUGAAUCGAAAACAACUGGUGAACCCACUACAACCAUGACUGGUGUGUCAACAAUAACGGUUACAGUUUCACCCACUACAAACAUCACUGGUAGAUUGACAUCAACAGUUACAGCUGCACCCACUACAACUGUCAUUGGAGCAUCAAUAACAACUGGUGAACUUACUUCAACUGUUAUUGGUGUGUUGACAACAACUGGUGAACCCACUACAACAGUCACUCGUGGGUCGACAACAACUAGUGGACCCACUACAACCAUAACUGAUUCAUCAACUACAGCUGGUGAACUCACUACAUCCAUCACUGAGUCAACAAAAACAACUGGUGAACCCACUAUGACCGUCACUGGUGUGUUGACAACAACUGGUGAACGCACUACAAUAUUCACUGGUGUGUCGUCAACGAGUGGUGCAUCAACAACUACUGGUACAGCUGCACCCACUACAACCGUCACUAGUGCAUCAAAUGCCACCACAACUACAAUAGCUACUCCUGUCAUCACUACUGCCAUCAUCACAGCCACAACAACUGCAACUACCGCUGUUGCAAUCAUUAGGUUGCCUGUGGUGUUCCGGUCCAGAGGAGAGACAUUUACCUCUGAUCUAUCAAACCCAUCAUCUCAGGCCUUUCAAACCCGAGCAUUACUGAUUAAAACUCAGGUUGAACCUUUCUAUCAAUCAGCUUUCACGUCUUUCAACAGUUUGACUGUGACAGAAUUCAGCUCUGGAUCCAUCAUCAAUACUGUAAAUGUAGCAUUCAGCUCCCCCUCUGUCCCUAAUAUCACGGAGAUUGGCACUGUUUUGAUAAAUGCUGCCCAAAACAUCACAGCUUUCAACAUUGACCCCUCCUCAGUGACAGUCAACAGCACAGCUGCAGCCACAAAAAUACUUACCAGUGCAAUAACAACGAGUGGCUUAUCGACAAGAACUGGUGAACCCACUACAACCGUCACCAGUGUGUCGACAAUGAGUGGUGCAUCAACAACUGCUGUUACAGCUGAACCCACUACAACUGUCAAUGAUGCACCGACAACAACUGGUGAACCCAAUACAACCAUAACUGAUACAUCAACAACAACAACUGGUGAACCCACUGAAACCGUCACUGGUUCAUUGAAACUAACUGGUGAAUUCACUACAACCGUCACUGGUGUGUCGACAACAACUGACAAACCAACUACAACCAUCACUGGUGUGUCGAUAAAGUUUACAGCUGCACCCACUACAAACGUCACUGGAGCAUCAACAACAACUGGUGAACUUACUUCAGCCGUUGUUGGUGUGUCGACAACAAGUUACGAAUCAACAACUACUGUUACUGCAGCACCCACUAUAACCGUCACGGGUGUGUUGACAACAACAGGUGAACCCAAUAUAAACGCUACUGGUGCACCAAAAACUACUGAUGAACCCACUACGACCAUCACUCGUGUGUCGACAACAAGUGGUGAACCCCCUACAUCCAUCACUGGUGUGUCGACAACAACGUUUACAACUGUACCCAUUACAAACGUAACUGGUGCAUUGACAACAACUGGUGAACUUACUUCAACUGUCAUUGGUGUGUCGUCAACAAGUUAUGCAUCAACAAUUACUGUUACUGCAGCACCCACAACAACCGUGUCGACAACAACUGGUGAACCCACUACAACCGUGUCGACAACAACUGUUGAACCCACUGCAACCGUUACUGGUGCAUUGACAACAACUGGUGAACCCAGAACAACCAUUACUGGUGUGUCGGCAACAACUGGUGAACCCACUGCAACCAUCACCGGUGUGUUGACAACAACGGUUACAGCUGUACCCAUUACAAACAUAACAGGUGCAUUGACAACAACUGGAGAACUCACUUCAACCGUCACUGGGGUAUUGACAAGAACUGGUGAACCCAGAACAACCGUCACUGUGGUGUCGACAACAAGUGAUGCAUCAACAACUACAUUUACUGCAGCACCCACUACAACCGUCAUGGGUGUGUUGACGACAACUGGUGAACCCACUACAACCGUCGAUGGUGUGUCGACAACAACUGAUGAACCAAUUACAACUAUCAGUGGUGUGUUGAUAACAAAGUUUACAGCUGCACCCAUUACAAACGUCACUGGAGCAUCAACAACUGGUGAACUUACUUCAACUGUCAUUGGUGUGUCAACAACAAGUGAAGCAUCAACAACCACUGUUACUGCAGCACUAACUACAACUGUCACUGGUGUGUCAACAACAACUGGUGAACCCACUGCAAACAUCACCGGUGUGUUGACAACAACGGUUACAGCAGUACCCAUUACAACUGUCACGGGUUUGUCGACAACAACUGGUGAACCCACUACAACCAUCACUGGUGUGUCGACAACAACUGGUGAACCCACUGCAACCCUCACCGGUGCAUCAACAACUAAUACUACAGCUGCACCCAUUACAACUCUCACUGAUGCAUCAACAACAAUGGUUACAGCUGUAUCCAUUUUAACCGUAACUGGUGCUUUGACAACAACGGUUAGAGCCGCAGCCACUACAGCCGUCACUGGUGUGUCGACACCAAGUGAUGCACCAACAGCUACUGUUACUGCAGCACCCACUACAACCGUCAUGGGUGUGUUGACGACAACUGGUGAACCCACUACAACAUUAACUGGUUCAUCGACAACUACUAGUGAACCCACGACAGCCGUUACUGGUCCAUUGACAACAUCUGGUGAACCCACUACCACAAUCACUGGUGUGUCGACAACAAUGGUUACAGCUGUACCCAUUACAACCGUAACUGGUGCAUUGACAAGAGCGAUUACAGUGGCUCCAAAUACAACCAUCACUGUUGUGCCGUCAACUACUGAUGAACCCAAUUCAACUGUCACUGGUGGGUUGACAACAACUGGUGAACCCACUACAACCGUCACUGGUGCAUCGACAACAACGGUUACAGCUGUACCCAUCACAUCAAUAGGUGGUGCAUUGACAACUGGAGAACUCCCUUCAACCGUCACUGCUGCUCUUGCAACAAGUACUGUUCCUCCUACAACUUCUGUUACAACCCCUGUGGCUGGUACUACCACCACAACAACUGGAGAACCUGUUACUGUUCCGGCUACCGUUCCUACAACUAGGCCCACAACUACAACCACUACAUACGUGGCCCCCACAACUACAGUGUCAAGGACAACAUCACCACUGUCAACAACUACCAGCACAGCUCCAACUACCACAACAACCAACGCACCAACCACUACUACAACACCUACUACUACUACUAGUACAACCACUACUACAACACCUACUACUACUAGUACAACAACAACUACAACUAAAACAACAACUGCACAUCUCCAACCUGCUCCACUGGUGGUUUUCGUCAUACAACAAGUGUUUGUAGAAGCUUUAAAUGACCCUCAAAGUCCACAAUUCCAAGAACUUGCAGUAACUAUUACUGCAGUGUUUGAUGUGAUCUACAAAGCAAAAUAUGGGAUCCUUUUCAUCCGGACAAUUGUUAUUGGAUUCACACCUAUUUUCCGUUCUCGUAUGGAUGCAGAAACACAGGCGGAGGUCCAGCUAGUGUUCAGUGAGACCUCCACUCAAUCUGUCCCUGAGGUUACUGACAUUAGCAAUACACUGAAAGAGGCUGUGACCAAUCCAAACAUUACCUUUGGCAACCUCUCUGUGGAUGUUACCACCAUCAUUGUUAAAGUGCCCACCACAAAUGCCAACUCAACUGCAACGGUAACUCCUGUCAUCACUACUUCCAUCAUCACAACUACAACCACUGAAACUACCGCUGUGGCACUCACUAAGGUGACUGUGGUGUUCAGGUCCAGAGGAGAGACAUUUACCUCUGAUCUAUCAAACCCAUCAUCUCAGGCCUUUCAAAGCCGAGCAUUACUGAUUAAAACUCAGGUUGAACCUUUCUAUCGAUCGGCUUUCACCUCUUUCAACAGUUUGACUGUGACAGAAUUCAGCUCUGGAUCCAUCAUUGAUACUAUGAAUUUAGCAUUCAGCUCCUCCUCCGUCCCAAAUUCCAAGGAGAUUGGCACUGUUUUGAUAAAUGCUGCGCAAAACAUCACAGCUUUCAACAUUGACCCCUCCUCAGUGACAGUCAACGGCACAGCUGUGACCUCAAGUGGAGUAAGCAGCAAGACCAGUCUCUUCACAGCAUUCUUUCUGGUGGUUCUGUCUCUGCUACUGUCAAGCCAGCAUUAGUCUCAGUGGUAACGCCCACUUGGUAGUCAUAUUUUCACUUUGAGAACUUCCCACACAUUCCAACCCCUACAUAAAUUCCACCCAUGAUUUGACUAGUCUCCAAAAUGAAAUGAAGUCUUGUAAGCUGACAUAAGAUACAGUCUAUGUGGCAGUUGAACACAAUGAUGUGAUAUAAUUACUGCCUAUUCAAUCAAAAUGUGUAAGUGCAUGGGUUUCCAUCAUAAGUCAAUGUUAUUUCCAUGCAAUGACAAAGCAUGUUUGAUUUAAUAUGCACUUAUUUUUGAUUCACUCUGUUGCUGAUAUGAACUAAAACAUUGAUUCACUCUUGCUGAUAUGAACUAAAACGUUGAUUUACUCUCUUGCUGAUAUGAACUAAAACGUUGAUUCACUCUUUUGCUGAUAUGAACUAAAACAUUUAAUCACUCUGUUGCUGAUAUGAACUAAAACAUUUAAUCACUCUGUUGCUGAUAUGAACUAAAACAUUGAUUUACUCUCUUGCUGAUAUGAACUAAAACAUUGAUUCACUCUUGCUGAUAUGAACUAAAACGUUGAUUUACUCUCUUGCUGAUAUGAACUAAAACGUUGAUUCACUCUUUUGCUGAUAUGAACUAAAACAUUUAAUCACUCUUUUGCUGAUAUGAACUAAAACAUUGAUUCACUCUUGCUGAUAUGAACUAAAACGUUGAUUUACUCUCUUGCUGAUAUGAACAAAAACAUUUAGUCACUCUGUUGCUGAUAUAAACUAAUGAGAGCAAUAUUAUAUUUCAUAUUUUGACUUAACCAGUGAAACCUGGAUAACUGAUUUAAAUAAGGC
rnacentral:lncRNA from 1 species